AGGAUAAAUAAAGCUAACCUGCAAUUAGCAAGCUUUGAUUAACAUCAAAUUAUCUUAA
rnacentral:tRNA from 1 species